rnacentral:rRNA from 1 species
CAUUAGCUAGUUGGUGAGGUAAUGGCUCACCAAGGCGACGAUGCGUAGCCGACCUGAGAGGGUGAUCGGCCACACUGGGACUGAUACACGGCCCAGACUCCUACGGGAGGCAGCAGUAGGGAAUCUUCCACAAUGGACGAAAGUCUGAUGGAGCAAUGCCGCGUGAGUGAAGAAGGUUUUCGGAUCGUAAAACUCUGUUGUGAGGGAAGAACAAGUACGAGAGUAACUGCUCGUACCUUGACGGUACCUCAUUAGAAAGCCACGGCUAACUUCGUGCCAGCAGCCGCGGUAAUACGAAGGGGGCUAGCGUUGCUCGGAAUUACUGGGCGUAAAGGGAGCGUAGGCGGAUCGUUAAGUUAGAGGUGAAAGCCCAGGGCUCAACCCUGGAAUUGCCUUUAAAACUGGCGGUCUUGAGUAUGGCAGAGGUGUGUGGAACUCCGAGUGUAGAGGUGAAAUUCGUAGAUAUUCGGAAGAACACCAGUGGCGAAGGCGGCUUUUUGGUCUGUAACUGACGCUGAGGCGCGAAAGCGUGGGGAGCAAACAGGAUUAGAUACCCUGGUAGUCCACGCCGUAAACGUUGGGCACUAGGUGUGGGUCGUUAUCAACGCGAUCUGUGCCGUAGCUAACGCAUUAAGUGCCCGCCUGGGGAGUACGGCC